rnacentral:lncRNA from 1 species
UGUGGUAGGUUGUCCCGCCCCGAGCCUGGGGGCGAGACCGGCACCUAGUGCCUCAUCUAUCCUUGCAUACCACUUGCGACUAAGAGAUUCUGAACCUGUAAUAUCAUACUUUGACUAUGGGCCACAUUACAAGAUAAUGUGCGAUGCAAAAUAUAAAACUAAAUGGAGACUAACACUGACUAAUGUCAACAUAAAGUUGGGCCGGCAAGGCCGUCAUAAUUACUACAACUGACAGGCCAACAAAAUAUACGUAGAGGGACUACAAGCCCAACAUACUGCACUAAUCGAUAGGAUAUGUCUACAAGUCUCUACUGAUAGAUGUACUGUGAUCGGAACAGGGCCCCGACCUACCCAUAACCUAUCUACAUAUAUACAUAAGAUAUAUACCACACUGUUAAACUCGACAACUCUGAAAGAAGGGGAGCUUAUCGAUAAAGCUGAACUCGGGCAACACCUACUGAGAAGGUCUACCCGUAUGCCUGUCUGAACCUGCACACAUGAAAUGCAGCGCCCCCAGAAAGGGACGUCAGUACGAAAUAAUGUACCGAGUAUGUAAGGCAAUAUAUUGAAGCUGAAACUGCACUGAUAAUAUAAUAACUGAAAACAACUGGGAGUCAAAGGAAAUCUGAAGAUAUGCUCAUUUGUUGAUACUGACUCAAUUCUCUCAAUAUAGUGAGUAAAAUAGUUGUUCGACCCUAUAAGGCUUGGUAUAUAUAUAACUGCUCUACUGUAGUAGGCUCGCUCAUAGGCGCUCGGCCAUACUAGGCUCUGUAUCUCGACCAACUGGGCUCGCUCAUAAGUGCUCAGCCACAGUAGGCUCAGUAUAUAACUUACCAUCUGAUCAGAGGUUGCCCAAUAGGGGCUUGCCCAUCGAUUAUAGCUCGAUGGUAAUGAAAAUACUUUUAAUACUGUAUAUAUGUAAACUCUCUACUCUUUUGACUGGAAGAAAGAACUACUCAACUGAAUAUGCGGUCCCGAUAAGAAGAACAUGGUAACUUACAAAACUAGAAAAAUAUAUAUAAUUUGCAAAACUAGCAAAAUAUACGUAAAUUUCGGGAAAUGAAUUUUUCUCUAUGCCUCGUUAUCAAAUUUGUGUAAUAACGAGAUCAUGCAAAAUAAAAUAAGGGCUUAGCCUUAACAUACCUGGAGUGGGAAAACUCCGUAUACUAUUUCGUUGGAAAACCUUUGUUGAUUGAACGAAAUUUGCCUCUGCUUCUUAAAGAUUCACGGAUAAAAUUUGUUUCUGGUUCCUAAAAUUUUGGAACGAAUUUAAUCUGAUUUGGAGUGAGGCUUGGACGUUUGGUUGGAACUUAAAAUUGCUUCUGCUUUUCACGUUGGUUAAUAACAGAAUGUAACAAUUGUUUUUGGUAUUGAAAUUUUGAAAAACCUGAUUGUUAAGUUUUUAGUUCCUUAAGAAUCUGACUCACGUUUUUUGCUUGGUUUCUCAAAGACAAAUGGUCUUUUUGAAACUUAAGAAUCAGAUGUUUGGUUUUGUUCUUUCAUAUUCC